rnacentral:rRNA from 1 species
AUUGAACGCUGGCGGCAGGCCUAACACAUGCAAGUCGAGCGCGAAAGGCUUUCGGGCUGAGUAGAGCGGCGGACGGGUGAGUAACGCGUAGGAAUCUACCUGGUAGUGGGGGACAACUUGGGGAAACUCAAGCUAAUACCGCAUACGCCCCACGGGGGAAAGCGGGGGACCUUCGGGCCUCGCGCUAUCGGAUGAGCCUGCGUAGGAUUAGCUAGUUGGUGGGGUAAAGGCUCACCAAGGCGACGAUCCUUAGCUGGUCUGAGAGGAUGAUCAGCCACACUGGAACUGAGACACGGUCCAGACUCCUACGGGAGGCAGCAGUGGGGAAUAUUGCGCAAUGGGCGAAAGCCUGACGCAGCCAUGCCGCGUGUGUGAAGAAGGCCUUAGGGUUGUAAAGCACUU